rnacentral:rRNA from 1 species
UACGUAGGGUGCGAGCGUUAAUCGGAAUUACUGGGCGUAAAGCGUGCGCAGGCGGUUCGUUAAGUUCGUUGUGAAAGCCCCGGGCUCAACCUGGGAAUGGCAAUGGAAACUGGCGGGCUGGAGUAUGGCAGAGGGGGGUGGAAUUCCGCGUGUAGCAGUGAAAUGCGUAGAGAUGCGGAGGAACACCGAUGGCGAAGGCAGCCCCCUGGGCCAAUACUGACGCUCAGGCACGAAAGCGUGGGGAGCAAACAGG